CAGGAUGUUAUCUUGAUUGAUCUAUGG
rnacentral:piRNA from 3 species